AGAGUUUGAUCCUGGCUCAGGAUGAACGCUAGCGACAGGCUUAACACAUGCAAGUCGAGGGGCAGCACAGGUAGCAAUACCGGGUGGCGACCGGCGCACGGGUGAGUAACGCGUAUGCAACUUGCCUAUCAGAGGGGGAUAACCCGGCGAAAGUCGGACUAAUACCGCAUGAAGCAGGGAUCCCGCAUGGGAAUAUUUGCUAAAGAUUCAUCGCUGAUAGAUAGGCAUGCGUUCCAUUAGGCAGUUGGCGGGGUAACGGCCCACCAAACCGACGAUGGAUAGGGGUUCUGAGAGGAAGGUCCCCCACAUUGGUACUGAGACACGGACCAAACUCCUACGGGAGGCAGCAGUGAGGAAUAUUGGUCAAUGGCCGAGAGGCUGAACCAGCCAAGUCGCGUGAGGGAUGAAGGUUCUAUGGAUCGUAAACCUCUUUUAUAAGGGAAUAAAGUGCGGGACGUGUCCCGUUUUGUAUGUACCUUAUGAAUAAGGAUCGGCUAACUCCGUGCCAGCAGCCGCGGUAAUACGGAGGAUCCGAGCGUUAUCCGGAUUUAUUGGGUUUAAAGGGUGCGUAGGCGGCCUUUUAAGUCAGCGGUGAAAGUCUGUGGCUCAACCAUAGAAUUGCCGUUGAAACUGGGGGGCUUGAGUAUGUUUGAGGCAGGCGGAAUGCGUGGUGUAGCGGUGAAAUGCAUAGAUAUCACGCAGAACCCCGAUUGCGAAGGCAGCCUGCCAAGCCAUGACUGACGCUGAUGCACGAAAGCGUGGGGAUCAAACAGGAUUAGAUACCCUGGUAGUCCACGCAGUAAACGAUGAUCACUAGCUGUUUGCGAUACACUGUAAGCGGCACAGCGAAAGCGUUAAGUGAUCCACCUGGGGAGUACGCCGGCAACGGUGAAACUCAAAGGAAUUGACGGGGGCCCGCACAAGCGGAGGAACAUGUGGUUUAA
rnacentral:rRNA from 1 species